AACGAACGCUGGCGGCAGGCCUAACACAUGCAAGUCGAGCGCGCCUUUCGGGGUGAGCGGCGGACGGGUUAGUAACGCGUGGGAAUAUACCCUUUGGUACGGAAUAGCCUCUGGAAACGGAGAGUAAUACCGUAUGAGCCCUUCGGGGGAAAGAUUUAUCGCCAAAGGAUUAGCCCGCGUUAGAUUAGGUAGUUGGUGGGGUAAUGGCCUACCAAGCCUACGAUCUAUAGCUGGUUUUAGAGGAUGAUCAGCAACACUGGGACUGAGACACGGCCCAGACUCCUACGGGAGGCAGCAGUGGGGAAUCUUGGACAAUGGGGGCAACCCUGAUCCAGCCAUGCCGCGUGAGUGAUGAAGGCCUUAGGGUCGUAAAGCUCUUUCGCCAGGGAUGAUAAUGACAGUACCUGGUAAAGAACCCCGG
rnacentral:rRNA from 1 species